ACCAGAUAGCUCAGUCAGUAGAACAUGAGACUCUUAAUCUCAGGGCUGUGAGUUCAAGCACCAUGUUGGGUA